GCCGGUGUAACUCAGUUGGUUAGAGUGCGGCUCUCAUAAGGCCGAUGUCGGCGGUUCGAAUCCGCUCACCGGCA
rnacentral:tRNA from 1 species